GACGACCUUUUGGGGCGUGCCUAACACAUGCAAGUCGAACGGAACUGUUUUGAAAGAUUUCUUCGGAAUGAAUUUGAUUUAGUUUAGUGGCGGACGGGUGAGUAACGCGUGAGUAACCUGCCUUCAAGAGGGGGAUAACAUUCUGAAAAGAAUGCUAAUACCGCAUGACAUAUCGGAACCACAUGAUUUUGAUAUCAAAGAUUUUAUCGCUUGAAGAUGGACUCGCGUCCGAUUAGUUAGUUGGUGAGGUAACGGCUCACCAAGACCGCGAUCGGUAGCCGGACUGAGAGGUUGAACGGCCACAUUGGGACUGAGACACGGCCCAGACUCCUACGGGAGGCAGCAGUGGGGGAUAUUGCGCAAUGGGGGCAACCCUGACGCAGCAACGCCGCGUGAAGGAUGAAGGUUUUCGGAUUGUAAACUUCUUUUAUUAAGGACGAAACUUGACGGUACUUAAUGAAUAAGCUCCGGCUAACUACGUGCCAGCAGCCGCGGUAAUACGUAGGGAGCAAGCGUUGUCCGGAUUUACUGGGUGUAAAGGGUGCGUAGGCGGCUUUGCAAGUCAGAUGUGAAAUCUAUGGGCUCAACCCAUAAACUGCAUUUGAAACUGUAGAGCUUGAGUGAAGUAGAGGCAGGCGGAAUUCCCCGUGUAGCGGUGAAAUGCGUAGAGAUGGGGAGGAACACCAGUGGCGAAGGCGGCCUGCUGGGCUUUAACUGACGCUGAGGCACGAAAGCGUGGGUAGCAAACAGGAUUAGAUACCCUGGUAGUCCACGCUGUAAA
rnacentral:rRNA from 1 species